UAGGGAAUCUUCGGCAAUGGACGAAAGUCUGACCGAGCAACGCCGCGUGAGUGAAGAAGGUUCUCGGAUCGUAAAACUCUGUUGGUAGAGAAGAACGUUGGUGAGAGUGGAAAGCUCAUCAAGUGACGGUAACUACCCAGAAAGGGACGGCUAACUACGUGCCGG
rnacentral:rRNA from 1 species